rnacentral:rRNA from 1 species
GACGAACGCUGGCGGCGUGCCUAAUACAUGCAAGUAGAACGCACAGUUUAUACCGUAGCUUGCUACACCAUAGACUGUGAGUUGCGAACGGGUGAGUAACGCGUAGGUAACCUGCCUGGUAGCGGGGGAUAACUAUUGGAAACGAUAGCUAAUACCGCAUAAUAUUAAUUAUUGCAUGAUAAUUAAUUGAAAGGUGCAAUUGCACCACUACCAGAUGGACCUGCGUUGUAUUAGCUAGUAGGUGAGGUAACGGCUCACCUAGGCGACGAUACAUAGCCGACCUGAGAGGGUGAUCGGCCACACUGGGACUGAGACACGGCCCAGACUCCUACGGGAGGCAGCAGUAGGGAAUCUUCGGCAAUGGACGAAAGUCUGACCGAGCAACGCCGCGUGAGUGAAGAAGGUUUUCGGAUCGUAAAGCUCUGUAGUAAGAGAAGAACGGGUGUGAGAGUGGAAAGUUCACACUGUGACGGUAUCUUACCAGAAAGGGACGGCUAACUACGUG